rnacentral:rRNA from 1 species
UACGUAGGGUCCGAGCGUUGUCCGGAAUUACUGGGCGUAAAGAGCUCGUAGGUGGUUUGUCGCGUUGUUCGUGAAAACUCACAGCUUAACUGUGGGCGUGCGGGCGAUACGGGCAGACUUGAGUACUGCAGGGGAGACUGGAAUUCCUGGUGUAGCGGUGAAAUGCGCAGAUAUCAGGAGGAACACCGGUGGCGAAGGCGGUUCUCUGGGAAUAUCCUGACGCUGAGGAGCGAAAGUGCGGGGAGCGAACAGG